rnacentral:rRNA from 1 species
UACAGAGGGUGCGAGCGUUGUUCGGAAUUACUGGGCGUAAAGCGCGCGCAGGCGGCCCUUUAAGUCCAUCGGUCAAAUGCCGGAGCUCAACUCCGUGCGUGCCGAGGAUACUGGAGGGCUGGAGACACGUAGAGGCAAGCGGAAUUCCGGGUGUAGCGGUGGAAUGCGUAGAGAUCCGGAAGAACACCGGAGGCGAAGGCGG